UUGUCACAGGCCGUAAAGAUGGAACGGAACACGAGCCGGUGGCCGAACCCGCGGCACUUUUCACAGCUGCUCCCAACUUUUCAGGAAGUUUUGAGCUGUGUUUACAUCUGUGGGCCAGUUUUUUAAAUCGAUUUAAAGAGGACAGAAUAAAAGGGAGCGUCUAAUGUACACUUUAAAUGCACUUCACACUCACUUCUGACCGCGUUGUUAUUUGUUUCCAGUUUUCCUCUCCGGGAAACUUUCCUCAGAAGUUUAAACUCACAGGUUGGAUCCAUAGAUUCUCUCUGUGUGGACCGAUAUGAGGCAUUUUUAAACAUGGGGCGCUCUCCGUUGGCCUAUUUGGGCGCAUACAAUUUUUUAUAACCUGGUUUAUUUGACUUUAAUGAUUUCCAUUAAGACUGAAAUAACGAAACGCGCAGGCAGGAGCUCAGCGGGGCUGCCCGCCGGACAGCGCCUUAUAGCCGGCUCGUCUGCAGCCUGGACGUAUGGAGGAGCGGCCAUGUGCGCUCGGCUGACUCUGUGUCGGUUUAAAUGAGCUGAUGCGUGGCUGCAGCCGCUGUCUGCGUGUGUGGCUGCGGGCUCUGCAGGAGGAGAAGUGAAUGUAUCGCUGAGGAAUGUACAGAAAGUCUCCCCGCCCCCAGCGCGCAACGACUCCUCGCUAUGGACAAAUUCCAUAGGGGCGAGAAAAAAAACAAGAAAAAAAGAAAAAGAAAGGAGAACCCUGACAUAAAGUUUCGGAGCAGACUGCAUCCUAUGUGGGAAGAUUGCUGCGGUUAAUGUCAGUGCAGGGGGAAAAAAAGCAGAACUGACAAAAUCGAUCUGGUUAAACAUAGUCUGGGAUAUUUCUAGAGAGGAGGAGAGAGAGAGGGAGGAGAGGGGAGGCAGAUUGUUUAAGUAAAACGCAGCUUAUAGCCCAACUUUGAGCUGCUGGCCUCGCUCCAACAUGGAGAUAGUCUACGUCGCCAAGCGCAAGGGCUCCUUCACAAACCCCUGUAGGCUACUCUGAGUCCAGGGAUUCUGUUUUCCGAGCAUUAAAUCCACUGGCUGACCGCUUCGGACAGAGUCAGGGAGGAGUGGUGCUGAACGCCAUGUUGAGGAGAAUCUGGAGCCUUACAGGAGCAUUCACUCAUGGAAACACAGUCCUUAUCGGUGUUCAUGGAAGUCUGCUUUUUAAGGGUGCUGACACAUGUGUUGUGUUCGCAUCAGAGUUAAAUCGAGGCUCCAGAACACACAAAACAAAGGAAACAUGGAUGUUUUCUCCUGUGGGGUGACACCCUUCAUCUCAUUAGAAAAUGGCGGUUUGUGCCCUCUCCAAAAACACAUCCUGCCAGGGGAGAUUUCUUUUUUACACUAAAUAAUGACUAAAUGCUGUGUGUUUAAAUUUAAAAGACAAAUAUAUGUGUUUUUUUUUUAAAAAAAGAUUAAUAGCAGCUAAAGAAACAUUUAGCUUUUAUCGUCACUUGUGCACUUCUGUUUUUUUUUUUGUUUUUUUUUUUUGUUGUUUGGUUUUUUCAAACAAAAGUCAAAUCCUGGAAAUGAGCAUGAAAAAGUCCAAUCAGUGCAUCCAGAGGGGCAGCAAACAUGAUUAAAAUGUGAGGAUAUUUUUGAGGAAAUAACUGCUGCUGUGUUUUACUGAGAACAACUAGAAAAAAAGAAAGAAAGAGAAAAGCUUUCAGGAGCCAAACACAGCGAGCGUCAUACGAAUGUUGUGCUCAUAACAAUGGGCACAUUUUUAAUGAGGUGUGUGUUUAAUUGCCAGUAAUUUCAACAAAUUCUGCACACAAUCUCUGCUCAGUGUGUCAAAGAUAUAGCCUGCAAUUCUCACCUGUUUUUAUCUGCUAUUAUUCCCUCAGAAAUGUAGUUUUAUUUGUGACAAACAUCUGUUGAUUGUUGUAUUUUGGGGCUCAUGAGAUGAGUGCAUUUUUAUUGUUAUUGAACAUGAGAUGAGAUUAACAGCACAUGUUCCUGAAGCACAGAAACUCUGAUUUUAAGUGGGUGUUUUCACGCACAGUCACAUGAAUAUUUGCAGACUCUGUCACACUUUGCAGCUGUGUGGCCCUGCUGUAGCUUUGUCUCUGUGAGAAGAAGACUUCUCUGCUGGCUGCUGCUGUUUACUGCUUUCACCACCUUGAUUGAUUGAUUGGUUGGUUGGUUGAUUGAUUGAUUGGUGGUGCUAUGAAAUCUCUCUUGAAACAACUCAAAAUCAAUCAAUUCCUGCAAAAUCUUGUUGUUGUUGUUUUUAAAGGAAGACAGGCGUAUUGGUUUUGUUGUGCAUCAAGUUUUCACACUUGUAAUUGUCCUCUGGUUGAGGUUUAUUUUAAAAUAAAGUGCAUUAUUUGUUGAA